UGGGGAAUAUUGGGCAAUGGAGGAAACUCUGACCCAGCGACGCCGCGUGCGGGAUGAAGGCCUUCGGGUUGUAAACCUCUUUCGACAGGAACGAUAAUGACGGUACUUGCAGAAGAAGCACCGGCUAACUAUGUGCCAGCAGCCGCGGUAAUACAUAGGGUGCAAGCGUUGUCCGGAAUUAUUGGGCGUAAAGAGCUCGUAGGUGGUUCGUCACGUCGGAUGUGAAAAUCUGGGGCUUAACCCCAGACCUGCAUUCGAUACGGGCGAGCUAGAGUGUGGUAGGGGAGACUGGAAUUCCUGGUGUAGCGGUGGAAUGCGCAGAUAUCAGGAGGAACACCAAUGGCGAAGGCAGGUCUCUGGGCCAUUACUGACACUGAGGAGCGAAAGCGUGGGGAGCGAACAGG
rnacentral:rRNA from 1 species